CCUACGGGUGGCAGCAGUGGGGAAUAUUGCACAAUGGGGGAAACCCUUAUGCAGCGAAGCCGCGUGAGUGAAGAAGUAAUUCGUUAUGUAAAGCUCUAUCAGCAGGGAAGAAAAUGACGGUACCUGAGUAAAAAGCCCCGGCUAACUACUUGACAGCAGCCGCGGUAAUACGUAGGGGGCAAGCGUGAUCCGGAUUUCCUGGGUGUAAAGGGACCGUAGACGGUAGUGCAAGUCUGGAGUGAAAGGCGGGGGCUCAACCCACGGACUGCUCUUGACACUGUGAGGCUGGAGUGCAGGAGGGGUAAGUGGAAUUCCUAGUGUAGCGGUGAAAUGCGUAGAUAUUAGGAGGAACACCAGUGGCGAAGGCGGCUUACUGGACUGUAACUGACGUUGAGGCUCGAAAGCGUGGGGAGCAAACAGGAUUAGAUACCCCAGUAGUC
rnacentral:rRNA from 1 species